rnacentral:lncRNA from 1 species
GCUAGAGUGGUCCAGACGCACACUUAACAAGACUCUCUAGGGAGCAGGAUGUAGUGAGAAAAACUGGGGCUCCAGAGAGAAUCUUGAGUAUGAAUCCAGCCUUACCCUAUGACUUUGGCCAAGUCAGCCUGUCUGAGGCUUAAAAUUCCUCCUCUAUAAAAUGGGUAUAAAUAUAUAUGUUUGUGAGAACAUUGCUUUAGAUGACUGGCUAAUGAAGCCUUUCAAUAAAUCCUUGGUGACCCAUCACCUUAUUUUCUGUAUACCACUUACUACCAUCAGAUAUUAUUAUAUGUAGUGUUUAUACAUUUGUUUAUCUGUCUUCCCACUAGAAUGAAAGUCCUAGGGGGGCAGGGAUUUAUCUGACUUGUUCAAGGCUGUAUGGUCAGUGCUUGGCACAUUAUAGCUGCUUAAUAAAUACUUGUUGAAUAAAUGAAUGCACAAGUGAAUGAAUAAAUAGGGACCCAAGAGGGAAACAGAAUGGAAUACAAUGGGGAUCAUCUUUUUCUGGGGGCCUCGGGCGGAUGGAAGUGACUUAAGAACUCCAGCAAAUAGAUUGCAUCCUUGUGGCUCGAGCAGAGGAAACAUAAAUUGCCUGGUGAGCAGCCAGUCUGCGGUGUAUGCUAGCGCUUCUCCUGUAAAGAAGUUAAAUGAUGGAGCGCCUGACCCCUUAUGCUGGAGUUCUUCCACCUGCUUUGUAAUUAAGCAGCCCUUCAUGGUCCUGGGGGAAGCACGGGUGAGCUGCGUGCGCUACGCUGCAGUGCAGUUUUCAAGCAAACUUCCUCCGUGGGCCUGCCCAGGAGAUUCCCCAGAAUGGUCAGGGCCCCCCACCCAUUUUUCCUGGGGCUCAGGGGACCCAGACUGAUUCGUGUCCGCAAGGACGCUGCCCUGACAGCCUGCUGGGAGCUGGGAGCGUGGUCUCCUCAGCAAACAUGACUUAAAUGCAGCGGUCGCCUUUCAGCUGGGGCUUUAGAAUUACUCGUGAUGUUUCUACCAUUUAAGAUACUUUAGCCUGUUUCAUCUUGAGACAAUUCCUGCAGGUUUCCGUUGAGGAGGCUCAAAUUCUAAGAUUUCAGAAAUCCACGGAAGAGGGAGGGGGGAUCGGUGAAUUUCAGCCAAUUUCACUAGCCAACCUCCCACCUGUGCAACCCCCGGGGAAGCUACUCAACCCCUCUGCGAAGCAGGAAUAAUACUCAUGUGCAUCUCAUCCGUGUAUACUGAGGACUGAGUGACUUAGAACAGUGCCUGGCACAUGGUGUCAUUCAAUAAAUAUUUCUUUCCCUCUUUCCCCCUCUUUGUUUUGCGAAAGAUUAUCUUCAUUGAGUAGGAGAUAGAGGAACACAGUUUUAAAAAAUCAGGCUUCCACACGGAUUACAGGGAAAAGUAACUCUUCCCCCCAGCUCCUAACCUCCAUUCCCCUCUCAGAGGAUGUUAUUAGUCUCUUGUGCAUCCCCUCAGAUGGUCAAGAGACACGUUUGUAUUUAUACACGGGCACUUUUGAAAAGGCAAAUGGCAGCACACUUCGCAGUACUGUGCCUUUUUUAAGAAGUGUAACAGCUUUAUUGAGAUAUGUCACAUACCAUAUAAUUUACCCAUUUAAAGUGUGUCUUGCUUCUUUAUGUAUCACUUAGAUAGUUCCAUAUCAGCAUUUUCACCCUUCUCUAAGGUUGCAUCUCCACUGUGUGGAUGCACCACGACUUUACUUGCUCAGUGCUGUAUUGCUGGACAUCUAGGUUGCCGCCAGUGCUGCAAUGAUAAUGAAUAUCCUUGGAUGUAGGUCUUAGUCCAUGUCUAAAUAUUUCUCUGAAGUUUCUCCUCCUGUUCCUGUCUUUCCUGGGAGUGGAUCCGCUCCGCACUGUCACCAAUAAUGACGUCUCUAACAAACCAACCUGUGCACGAUGUUUGCAAAAUAUACCUCCACACCGUUCUGCUGCUGUCUUUGGCUUAUGGUUUGAACAUAUCCUGGGUAACACACAUUAUCAUUAUUAAUUAUUGUUACUAUUACUAACGAGACUGAGCAUUAUGACAGGGGCUUGGCAGAAAAGCAGCAGGGGAAAAUCGGAUAUUCGUGGUCUAAUUUUGAUAGAAUGCUAUUUGCUAAUUGUCAAGGCCGGGUUUGGCAAGAGAGAAUCGGGACGCAUGAUGUAAAGUGUAAAGACAAUUUCUUGCAACUUCCCGUCCCCACUGCACCCAGAAACAAGCUUCCAUGGCUUGCAUCGAGCUCAUCCUCAGUUAUUGGCACACUUCUCCUCGACGACCCGAGGCCGAAAUGAAGACUCCUGGGAGCUCGUCUGACAAGAGAGCAGAGGCAUUUUUCAGUCUGACAACAAUAGCAGGAAAUACUUCUGUCAGCUUUUACCACAUGCCAGGCACGACUCGAUCUUCCUUUCCAGGGCUUCUCCAGUACGGGGUUCUCAAACUUGAACAUGCAUCGGAAUCCCCUGAAGGGCUUGUUCAUACCCAGAUUGCUG